rnacentral:misc_RNA from 1 species
GGGGUUAGCAAUUAAAACGAGUACGUGAAACAUAAAAAUCAACCAAACCAUCCGCCUUAUCAAGUUUCUGGUAGUAUGCGAAAUGCAUAUGCCACAAAUGAGGAGGCCUAAAAUAAGACUAAAAAUUAGUCCAAAGGAAAAAUCCAUUAACAGAUGAUUGGAAACUCAUCUUUUUUCUUCAUUUUCUAUGGUGUAUUCUGUGAUGCUCUAUUGACUACUAAUUCGAAACUAUCCUUAUCUCAGGUAUCAUCUUCAUUGUUGAGCCACUUCCAAAUGCC